UCGUAUUUAUAUUUCAGUAAUUUUCUAUUCAAUUACAACGUAGCUAUGUGUUUUUAUUAUACACGUGAAUUUCGUUCCUUUGUUCCCGUGUAAAAAAUCUACUCCGUGUACCUACCUAUAUGUGAAAACCAUGUACCGGCCGUGUACAGUUAUUUUUCAACUUGUUCGACAGACCAUGAAGGCAUUGUUGGAAAAAUAAACCACUGUAGGGCCAUCGCAACUAGAAUGAUUUCAGUCAUGAGAGAAUAUUUUAAGACGUGCUGUUGUUAUUACAUUCCUGAAUAAAAUGUAAUAUUGAAGACAUCAAAGUGAUCAAACUUAUUGCAAAAUAAGUCUCUGUACACGGAAAAUUAUGAGUCUAAAAUAGUUAAAAUAUGUACCAAUGAAACAGGGUCUUACAAUGCAGGACGCAAUGCCGGUAAAAGGAAUAUACCAACCGAAAAUGAUCUGUUGAAUUUAACUUUAUUGUUCGUAUUUUAAUUUUCGUCUUCCUUAUCAGGUAUAUUAUUACAAGUCAUUUUAUUAGUAGAGGUGCUUAUACAAAAUAUAUAUAAAUAUAAACAUACAUAAUAAAUGUAUAUUAUUAUAUUCAAA